rnacentral:rRNA from 1 species
UACAGAGGUCUCGAGCGUUAGGCGGAAUCACUGGGCUUACAGAGUUCGUAGGCGGUCUGGAAAGUUGGGUGUGAAAUCCCUCGGCUCAACCGAGGAACUGCGCUUGAAACUACCAGACUCGAGGGAGAUAGAGGAAAGCGGAACUGAUGGUGGAGCGGUGAAAUGCGUUGAUAUCAUCAGGAACACCGGUGGCGAAGGCGGGUCUCUGGGCCGAUACUGACGCUGAGGAGCGAAAGCGUGGGGAGCGAACAGG